rnacentral:rRNA from 1 species
UACGAAGGGGGCUAGCGUUGUUCGGAUUUACUGGGCGUAAAGGGCGCGUAGGCGGUCCUGUAAGUCUUGUGUGAAAUCCCUCGGCUUAACUGAGGAACUGCACAGGAUACUGCGAGACUUGAGUUCGGGAGAGGGAAGCGGAAUUCCGGGUGUAGCGGUGAAAUGCGUAGAUAUCCGGAGGAACACCGGUGGCGAAGGCGGCUUCCUGGACCGACACUGACGCUGAGGCGCGAAAGCUAGGGGAGCAAACGGG